rnacentral:lncRNA from 1 species
CUUCUCUUUCGCCUCCGUUUCCGACUUCACCCUCGCCGCCCUCGCCUCCACCUCCGCGACUAGCUUCACGCGCUUCUCCAGGUCCUCGAGGCGCGUCCGGAGCUCCUUCCGGACCGACUCGAAGUGGUCCUCGAGCUCCUUCCACUGCGCGGUGAACACCAAUACUGAAGAAGUUUGGACGUUCAACGAGUCGAACACUCUGCCCAGGCUCCUCUGCCUCUCCUCCAACUCUUUCAUUUCCGGGUCCGUUUCGUCCAUGUUU